CAUUGGCACCACUAGUGUGCAUCUUUGUCGUCAGAGUAAAGAUACAUUUAAGCCCCGAGACCUGACAGCAAUCAAGCUGAUCACAAGGUUGUGCCUUUGCCCAGGGA